UUGAUUUCAAACUUGGUUCGGCGUUUUAAUUUUUAUUACCGUAUCUCUUUUAAAUAUACGUUUUGACCAAGUUAACCAUUAACCAACUUUAUAUGCAUGAUAAUCAUGAUUAUCCAGGGUAUACACAUAUAUAAUUAUAUAAACGUCCCUAAUAUAUAUGAAUGCUUGGUUGGUAAACAAGACGAACAAUGAAUCUUUCGCACAUUAUACAAUUUACAAACUCUAAAUGUAACGAAAAAAAUUAUUAAUUAAAUCCGGAAAAUGAAAUCUUUCACGUUUUUCUUUUUCAGCAUUGACAGCAUACAAAGUCAAUGUUUCCGGUGACUAGUUGCUCCUCUGUUCGGUGAUUCGGGUGAAUGUUUGACCAGCUGGACGAUGUGAACGCAAGAUAAAUAGAACAGACAUAAAGUACAGCCCAGUGAAAGGAACAAGUUCAUCGCAAGAAGAAGAAUUUUAAUGCUACCACUGUCCAGAACUACUAAGUCUGCUGUAACCAUGAUGUGAUCAUAUGAGUGCUUCACCGGUCUGGACAAUGCUCGAAAAUCCCCCAAAAAGGCCUAUUUCCAUAAACUACGACUCGGGUUACAUCAACAACAGCCAAGGACACUCCUUAUUGAUUCGAAUGGACACGUCUCUACGACCCGACUAAACCUCUGCAGAACAAGACUUUUUAACUGUAAAGUAUUCUCAUUUCAAAAAACCUAUAAACUAUAAAAGUAAUUUUUUUUAUAUGAUCAAAUACCAGUAUAUUACAAUGUCUGUCUGUAAGCUAGAAUCUUAGAAAAUCACAUGGUUUUGACUUAUUAAAUAAUUGAUGAGAUAUUAACUUUCAUUUUCUUAAAUAAUUUGUUAUAUUUGCAAAUAUUGCAUAAAAUAUUAGACUCCAUGUAACAUUUAUCCUCAUACCUCCAAGUUGAUAAGUGUUAACUACUUUUUUUCGAUUUUCUUUGUUUAAACAUUUAUUGAUAAUUUAGUUUUUAUUUGCAGCAAUAUAUGAAAAAUUAAGAAACCAAUCUUAAAUGUAAAAACACUGCAUUAGGAGAUGAAUGCAUGGGUCAUAGAAAUGAUAAAAUACACCAAACAAUAUUCAAUUAUGUCGUAUAUGAAAAUAUAUAAAGACAACAAAUACCCCAUGUAUUACAAUUUUUAUUACUUGGAUGGAAAGUUGUUUCCAUGUGGGUUUUAUUUUAAUCUGUGUUAUGUAACUAAUAUUGGAAUUAGCUUUUAUAUCAUAAGUAAAAUGCUGGUAUUGAUGAGAAUUGUAAGGUGAAUGAUCUGUGUGAUACUUUGUAUUUUAUACAUUCAUGCUACAAAAAGCAAGUACAUGUACAUGUAGUAAUACUUGUCAUAUAUAAACAAUGUUUAUUUUACUUCAUGUCUUGGAUUUAAAAAUAUUAAUGUAGGUAAAGUAGUGAAAUGUAGGAAGGUAAACCGUGUGUAAAGAAGAAUAUUCAUCAGGAAUGAAGUGUGUUCAAUCAGCAUAAUUAAUUAAAUGUGUACAUCAUAUUUUUGCACAUGAUUUGACAGACUGCUCCAUUGUUAGCUUUUUAUUGGCCAACAAGCUUUUCAUAUCUCCCUCUGGGUCAUCUAUUAAAUACUGACAGGCUUAUGAUAUUAAAAUCUGAUCAGUUGGUACAUCAUGGGUGGAAAUGAAAAGUUCACUUUGGACUUAAUGGAUUAUCAAAAAAAUGAUAUCAAAUCCUGUUCUAUUGUAAAACAUUAGAUUAUAUUACUAACAAAGAAAAGGUUUAUCCCAACUUGUAAGUGGGUCACUUUGACCUCAUUUUUGGAAUUUAUUGACAUAUUCAAAUCAAAUCUGGGUCAUACCUCUAUAGUCAACUACUAUCUUGUAGUGUAUUUUUUUUUU